GUUGAAUCGUUUGGAUGGUACGGAGUUGGGAAGCAAAGGUUGAUGACGGCGAAGAAGAAGGUGAAGUGGAACUGGGAACCGUAGUAGCAUAAUUUUGGAGGGAAAUUGUACUGUUGAGAGAGAUGGAAGAAAAUGGAGAUUGACUGUACUGUAUGUAUGUAGUGAACGGAAUGUGGUUGGUUAGAUGCGUAUUUUGCUUUUCCAUUUCUUAAAAUUG
rnacentral:lncRNA from 1 species